rnacentral:rRNA from 1 species
AUAGCGUAUAUUAAAGUUGUUGCAGUUAAAAAGCUCGUAGUUGAAUUUUAGGCCUGGUUGGACGGUCUGCUCUAGGGUUUGUACUGUCCUGACUGGGUCUUACCUUCUGGUGAGCUGUCGUAUUGUUUACUCAGUGCGGCAGGGAACCAGGACUUUUACUUUGAAAAAAUUAGAGUGUUUAAAGCAGGCAUUCGCUUGAAUACAUUAGCAUGGAAUAAUAGAAUAGGACUUUGGUUCUAUUUUGUUGGUUUCUAGGACCGAAGUAAUGAUUAAUAGGGAUAGUUGGGGGCAUUAGUAUUCAGUUGCUAGAGGUGAAAUUCUUGGAUUUACUGAAGACUAACUACUG